rnacentral:tRNA from 1 species
AUUUUGUUUUUUUCUUUUUAAAGUUUGUUUAUUUUUAAGAAUUUUAUGUAAAAUU